rnacentral:rRNA from 1 species
UAAGUAGGGCGUGAAAGCGUGUGGCUCAACCAUAUACACAUGUCCUAAACUACUAAGCUGGAAUAUAGAAGAGGUCGCUGGAAUUCCUUGUGUAGGAGUGAAAUCCGUAGAUAUGAGGAGGAACACCGAUGGCGUAGGCAGGCGACUGGUCUAUCAUUGACACUAAGGCACGAAAGCGUGGGUAGCAAACGGGAUUAGAUACCCCGGUAGUCCACGCCGUAAACUAUGGAUGCUA